rnacentral:tRNA from 1 species
GCCCCGGUAGCCCAACGGCAGAGGCAACGGUCUCAAACACCGUCCAGUGUCGGUUCGAAUCCGACCCGGGGCA